rnacentral:lncRNA from 1 species
CUGUGAAUAGGUUACCUCAGGUGGCAACAGGGACUUCGCGGCUGUGGUUAAAGUAAGAACUUUGAGAUGGGGAGAUUAUGUUGGAUUAACCAAGUGGGCUCAAAGUAAUCAUAAAGAUCCUCAUAUGAGGGUGCGGGAGGAAUCAGAGUCAGAAAAGAAAGAUAUGAUGAGGAAACCAAAGGUUGUCAUGAUGAGCCAUAAACCAAAAAAAAUUCAGAAGGCCUCUAGAAGCUAGAAAAAAAAAGGAAACAGAUUCUCUCAUAAUGCCUCCAGAAGAAAGACAGCCCUGCCAAUAUCUUGAUUUUACCCCUUGAAUUCUAGAAGUAUAAGAGAAUACACUCAUGUUGCUUGAAGUCACUAAUAUCCACAUUCUCAUCCUUGUCUGCCAUCCUGCAAUCCACAGACCCUCGAUUUUAUACUAGCCACGGGACCAAUCUAUAGUAUCAAACGUGUAGGGAAG